ACGGGAGGCAGCAGUGAGGAAUAUUGGUCAAUGGGCGAGAGCCUGAACCAGCCAAGUAGCGUGCAGGAUGACGGCCCUAUGGGUUGUAAACUGCUUUUAUGCGGGGAUAAACGAGGGGACGUGUCCCCUUUUGCAGGUACCGCAUGAAUAAGGACCGGCUAAUUCCGUGCCAGCAGCCGCGGUAAUACGGAAGGUCCGGGCGUUAUCCGGAUUUAUUGGGUUUAAAGGGAGCGUAGGCCGGACUUUAAGCGUGUUGUGAAAUGUAGUCGCUCAACGGGUGCACUGCAGCGCGAACUGGAGUCCUUGAGUGCGCGGGAAGUUGGCGGAAUUUGUGGUGUAGCGGUGAAAUGCUUAGAUAUCACGAAGAACUCCGAUUGCGAAGGCAGCCUGCUGGUCCGUUACUGACGCUCAUGCUCGAAGGUGCGGGUAUCAAACAGGAUUAGAUACCCUGGUA
rnacentral:rRNA from 1 species